rnacentral:misc_RNA from 1 species
UUAUUAAAAAAAAAAAAAAAAACAUUAAACUGGGUUGGAUCCCCCCUUUUUCUCUUGUUGAAGGAUACGCUCCUUCUUGUCUCUCUUUGUAUCAUCCAAUACUAUUUGGUAUGAUGGUGAUGAACGAUUCACACUAGAAUACUGCCUUAUCUCAUCGCAUCAGCUCCUAAAUCAUUACAAUUAGAAUACAAGACAUGAUAGCUGACAUUUGAAACCCUGGAUUGAAUGUUGAAGGAGGAGAAAAAAGACCGACUUGUUUUUUUUCUGCCUCUAGUGGCUAGGGGUAGGGCUGUGCAAUUGUUCCAAACCGAAAUAAUUGAAAAAAGAAAUUCUGCAAAUUGAAUUGAACUAUUGAACUGAAUUAAAUAGGAAAACCUCAUCGAAUUGAACUAAAAAUUCGGAUCAGUUGAUCAGUUAUAGACAUUUUCUCCAAAAUCCAAAUUAUUGUACAUAAAUAAAAAAUUUUCAACUUCUCAGUCUCAAAUCCUGAAUUGCAAACAAUGAAACAACCAGAAAUUUUAUGAAAUCCUCAAUUACAAACAAUGAAACAACCAAAAAUCAUAUGAAAUUCUCAAUUGCAAAACAACACAAGAAAGUACAAAACAAUAUAAUCAAAAUCAAAGUAAUUGUGCUAUUGAAACUACAAAAGGUGGAUUUCAUCAAUUACCUACAAUCUGAAAGCAUAAGAGAUAUGGAAAGGGGAGAGGCAGUCCCAAUCACACAGCCAUAAUGCACCCUUGAAAAUGGGUUCAGAGGGAGGCUUGUUGUUGGAAGCUUGAAAGUUUAAAGGGAGAAGCUGGUAAGGAUUUGGGUCUGGACGCAAAUCAGCCAGAUGAAAACUCUGUACCUGGCGAUGGCAUUGCAAGCAGAGGUAGCAAAUCCUUUGCGAUAGAUUGGCCAUGCAUAAGAUAGAGAGAUAGAAGGGGGUUGCAACUUGCGAUGGCUGAUGGCAGCAAUUCCAUUUAGGCCCUAAACUAUAGGGUUUGGGUGUGGGAGGGUGAGAGAAGGUGUGGUGUGGCUGUUGAGUGGAGGAGGAGGUUGAUCUAUCAUCAGUAGAUUGAGGGAGAGACGAGACGAGAAGGCAAGGUUGCAGGGCAAUGAGAGAAAGCAAGAAACUGAGAUAGGCAGAAAACAGCAGACUAUGGGAGAAAGAAGUAAAUAAAACACGAAAGGCAAGAAGCCCUAAUCUAAAUGUAGUAUAUCUCCCUUUCUUUUAUUUAACUAACGGAACUGAAAAACUAAUUUUUUUUAAUAUCAUAAUCGAAAUGGAACCAAAUAGAUCAAAAAACCAAACUGAUAUAACUAUAAUAUGCUUAGCCCUAGCUGGGGGUAGUAAGGCAAGAGGCGACACUAAGACGAUAAGAUACGCUAUGCCCUUAGGAGAGACAAGGCAAGGGCCUUUUGAAGUUUUGGGGGUGGGGUGGGGUGGGGUGGGGGGGGGGAUACUAAAUGGAAAUGAAACACUAAACAGAAGCCUCUACUUGUCAAAGACUUCAUUUUUAUUCAAAGAAAAAACAGGAAGACCUUCAUUCACUCAGCAGCCAAUGGAACAGCUUCAGCCAUCUUACGGUACUUGAGAGCGUAAAACAUUUCAAGGUAGCGACGGAUUUCUAGACGAUCAAGCUUAGAAACAUGUUUCCAGAACCCAUAAACAGCAGCCAGCGUCAGUAGUCUUUCGGAGUAGAUUUGCCAAGUGUACUUCUCUUGGAUGCGCUUCAGACCACCCGUCGAAAUGGUUUCCCAAUGUGAAGGCUCUUUCUUGCAUUUCUCAAAGAAAUCAGCUAGCAGAUCAGCAGCUUGCUCACCGUGAUAUGGAUCAAUAUGGAAACCGGAUUUUCCAUGAACGAUGAUUUCAGCUGGACCACCGUGAUUAGUUGCAAAUGUAGGCAGACCACAAGUCAUUG